rnacentral:rRNA from 1 species
UACGUAGGGGGCUAGCGUUGUCCGGAAUCAUUGGGCGUAAAGAGCGUGUAGGCGGCCCGGUAAGUCCGCUGUGAAAGUCGGGGGCUCAACCCUCGAAUGCCGGUGGAUACUGUCGGGCUAGAGUGCGGAAGAGGCGAGUGGAAUUCCUGGUGUAGCGGUGAAAUGCGUAGAUAUCAGGAGGAACACCGGUGGUGUAGACGGCUUUCUGGACCGUAACUGACGCUGAGACACGAAAGCGUGGGUAGCAAACAGG